CUCGCGGAGUGGACACUUUGGUGGGGGAGACAGAUGUCCAGAAGGACACGCCAUCCAGACACAUAAUCUUGUGAGGGUGAGAGCUCACAUGGUGCUCUGAGUGACAAGGACAGUGGCUGCUCUGUUUGGAGGCUUGGAGAGGCCUCUCUGAGGAGAGGAUGUUUAGGGGCAUAGACCUGGUGGUUUCAAGGCUCUUCUGGCACCCGUGAUGAGGAAAGCUGUGAUUCUGUGGCCCCUCUGGCAUUUCCUGGACCUUCGGGCUUCUGAGUCUAUUUGAACUUCAUGGCCAGGUGCCUCUCACUAAUGAAAGGGCCUCCACUGAGAUUUCCUUGGGAACAAAGGAGAGCUCAGUUGUUCUUGAGGCCUCAAAGGGGCCCCUGAGGCAGGCCUGAUGCCCGGCUGUGUGCAAGGACCAGAGGAGUGGCUGCCCAGCCUGGAGGCAGGUGCUGGCUGGACUGACCUCCUGGGACCCACUUAAGCUUUCUACAAACAACACAUCAUCUGGGCUGAGUGGGGGGUUCUCGGGGCAAAAAAAAAAAAAAAAGUCUUCUACGGAAGCUGCCUUGUGACUUGGCCCUGAGCUCAGGCAGGGUGGGGACCCUGAGCACCAGAGAGGUCAUUGUUCCGUGAAAGCCAAGGCGGCAACCCCUCCCUCUUCCCCUUCUUGUGCUUGGAACCUCCAGACCCCUGGACUCCCAGGGGAGCCCAGGGAGUCAGUGUAUGAGGUGCUGAAGCCAAGUCCUUCCAGAGCUUGGGGGAAGGUCAGUUGGUUUAUAAAUCACCUGAAUUUCAUCAGGGUCACCAUGGGGGAGCUUCAUGCAUUUUUCAAA
rnacentral:lncRNA from 1 species